CCCAGACUUUAAGGCAACCUGUAUUUCUGAUAUUUUGGAGUCAAUGUGAUGUUUCAGUUGUUUUAGGGACCAGUUUUACACCUGAAAGGGUGAAAGUUGAGCUGGAGCAGGAGGCCACACUCAGCUCUUCAUGACAUGCGGUAACUACCCGUAAGCAGGAGACUGAAGAAUUGGUUAGAAGAAAAUGCACACCUCUACCUCCCCAGGAAAGGACGCGUACAGAGGUGUGAUGGCGAUCCAGGCCACGUAACUACUGCAUUCUUUGGUGGCUUCAAAUCUCCUCCAUGUCUUCAACAUAACCAUCCAGCUAGAGGAUAUUUGAAGGAUUUCAGUUGCAUUCCGAGGGCAUGAUUCAUUUCCUCCUCUGAAACUCUGGCCACCGGCGCUGAGGGUGUGGAGCUCGCCAGUGCAGGCGGAGUAAUUGUCCGGGAAAGAGCUGGGCUGCGGGACUGACUGUCCAGUGGGUGUGCUGAACCGGUGUCAUUCACGGGUCCUUCAAUCCACAACUUUUUCUGAAUGUUUCAAACUACUCUUCUAUCUCUGCUGGUGGAUUCCUGGCCCUACUGAGCACCGACUGAAUUCUAAUUUCCCAGUGAGGAGCACCUUAGCUAACACAGCUGCCGUCGUAGGGAAAAGAGGACCAAAGCAAAGGGCCCGCUGCACCCCGAGAGGAGGUGUACAUCAAUGACAGCUGUCAUUCAUAACUGACACCUGGAUUCUGCCUGCGGAUACAGGCUGUAGCUGUUGGUACACCUGUGAGCAUGAGAGCUGGCAGCGGUAGCGUCACACUGCCAUAAAUCAGGCCCUUUGUAGAUCAUACAUUGCCAUCUUAUAGGUAGUUUUGGGCCACUAAUGCCGUGGUCGGUUGUGGGUGGCUAUAUCUAGGUGACUUGCGCAGAUCCUUGCACGUAGCCAGGCUACAAGCAAGUGACAUCUAAUAGGCAGAGGAGUAGUCUUCUGUCAGCUUGGUCCUACAGCAGUGCUAGGUAUGUAGCCCCCAUUCUCAUGAUUUAUGCAAUGCCGUUUAGUGCCACAUGAAUGUCGGUGGGCGAGUGUUCCUGUCUCUCUUGUUCUUGAUUACACUUCUAUUCCUAGAACUCAUCAAAAGUCUAUUGCUUUGCUCCUCACAAAAAAGUUUAAAUAAGUCAAAAAGGCUGCUAUUAUAAUUUCCCAUUUGAAAUGUAUUUUAUUAGAAAUGUUAUUCUCUUGAUAAAACAAUGAUCAGUCUCUGA